rnacentral:rRNA from 1 species
UUAUCAAAAACAUCGCCUCUUGCAAAACCAACGAAUAAGAGGUCCCGCCUGCCCAGUGACUAUAAGUUUAACGGCCGCGGUAUUUUGACCGUGCAAAGGUAGCGCAAUCACUUGUCUUUUAAAUGGAGACCUGUAUGAAUGGCAUCACGAGGGCUUAACUGUCUCCUUUCUUCAACCAAUGAAAUUGAUCUCCCCGUGCAGAAGCGGGGAUACCCACAUAAGACGAGAAGACCCUAUGGAGCUUUAGACACCAAAGCAGCCUACGUCAAACACCCUUUCACAAGAGACCAAACUAAGUAGAUCCUCCCCUAAUGUCUUCGGUUGGGGCGACCUUGGGGAAAUACAAAACCCCCAUGCGGAAUGAAAGCAUGCUUUCACAACCAAGAGCUUCUGCUCUAAGAACCAGAACUUCUGACCAUCAGAUCCGGCAAAGCCGAUCAACGGACCGAGUUACCCUAGGGAUAACAGCGCAAUCUCCUUACAGAGCCCUUAUCGACAAGGGGUUUACGACCUCGAUGUUGGAUCAGGACAUCCCAAUGGUGCAGCCGCUAUUAAAGGUUCGUUUGUUCAACGAUUAAAGUCCUACGUGAUCUGAGUUCA